rnacentral:hammerhead_ribozyme from 1 species
AUUCAGCUGACGAGUCCCGGAUAGGACGAAACGCGCGUCCUGGAU